ACCUGCGGAGGGAUCAUUACCGAGUUUACAACUCCCAAACCCCUGUGAACAUACCACUUGUUGCCUCGGCGGAUCAGCCCGCUCCCGGUAAAACGGGACGGCCCGCCAGAGGACCCCUAAACUCUGUUUCUAUAUGUAACUUCUGAGUAAAACCAUAAAUAAAUCAAAACUUUCAACAACGGAUCUCUUGGUUCUGGCAUCGAUGAAGAACGCAGCAAAAUGCGAUAAGUAAUGUGAAUUGCAGAAUUCAGUGAAUCAUCGAAUCUUUGAACGCACAUUGCGCCCGCCAGUAUUCUGGCGGGCAUGCCUGUUCGAGCGUCAUUUCAACCCUCAAGCACAGCUUGGUGUUGGGACUCGCGUUAAUUCGCGUUCCUCAAAUUGAUUGGCGGUCACGUCGAGCUUCCAUAGCGUAGUAGUAAAACCCUCGUUACUGGUAAUCGUCGCGGCCACGCCGUUAAACCCCAACUUCUGAAUGUUGACCUCGGAUCAGGUAGGAAUACCCGCUGAACUUAAGCAUAUCAAAGGCGGGGAGGAACGUUCU
rnacentral:rRNA from 1 species